UUAGAGGCACUGCCUGCCCAGUGACACUAGUUAAACGGCCGCGGUAUCCUGACCGUGCAAAGGUAGCAUAAUCAUUUGUUCCCUAAAUAGGGACUUGUAUGAAUGGCCACACGAGGGCUUUACUGUCUCUUACUUCCAAUCCGUGAAAUUGACCUUCCCGUGAAGAGGCGGGAAUACAACAAUAAGACGAGAAGACCCUAUGGAGCUUUAAUUAAUCGACUCAAAGAGACUCCACUAACUAACCGACAGGAACAACAAACCUCUACAUGAGCCGACAAUUUAGGUUGGGGUGACCUCGGAGAACAAAACAACCUCCGAGUGAUUUAAAUCUAGACUAACCAGUCAAAAGUAUCACAUCACUUAUUGAUCCAAAAACUUGAUCAACGGAACAAGUUACCCUAGGGAUAACAGCGCAAUCCUAUUUCAGAGUCCAUAUCGACAAUAGGGUUUACGACCUCGAUGUUGGAUCAGGACAUCCCGAUGGUGCAGCAGCUAUCAAAGGUUCGUUUGUUCAACGAUUAAAGUCCUACAUGAU
rnacentral:rRNA from 1 species